CGAAUACCAUCGAGUCUUAUCCGGCAGACAGACGGCGGGUGCUAAGGUCCGUCGUCAAAAGGGAAACAGCCCUAACCUACAGCUAAGGUCCCCAAGUCAUAUCUAAGUGGGAAAGCAUGUGGGAAUCCCAAAACAACCAGGAGGUUGGCUUAGAAGCAGCCAUCCUUUAAAGAAAGCGUAACAGCUCACUGGUCUAAACAAGGGUCCCUGCGGCGAAGAUGUAACGGGGCUAAAGAUAUGCACCGAAGCUUAGGGUUCAGACAUUAGUCUGAGCGGUAGCGGAGCGUUCCGUAAGCGAGUGAAGGCGAAGGGUAACCGACGCUGGACGUAUCGGAAGUGCGAAUGCUGACAUGAGUAGCGACAAAGAGGGUGAGAUGCCCUCUCGCCGAAAGACCAAGGGUUCCUGCGCA
rnacentral:ncRNA from 1 species